rnacentral:rRNA from 1 species
CCUACGGGCGGCAGCAGUAGGGAAUAUUGCUCAAUGGAGGAAACUCUGAAGCAGCAACGCAGCGUGGAGGAUGACGGUCUUCGGAUUGUAAACCUCUUUUUUUAGAGAAGAAAAUGACGGUACCUAACGAUUAAGCACCGGCUAACUCCGUGCCAGCAGCCGCGGUAAUACGUAGGGGGCGAGCGUUUCCCGGAAUCACUGGGCGUAAAGGGCGCGUAGGCGGGGUAGCAAGUCAGAUGUGAAAUCCUACGGCUUAACCGUAGAACUGCAUUUGAAACUGUUUGUCUAGAGUGUAGGAGAGGUAGGCGGAAUUCUUGGUGUAGGGGUGAAAUGCGUAGAGAUCAAGAGGAAUACUCAUGGCGAAGGCGACCGGCUGGGAUGUAACUGACGCUGAGGCUCGAAAGCGUGGGGAGCAAACAGGAUUAGAUACCCCAGUAGUC